AACGAACGCUGGCGGCGCGCCUAAUACAUGCAAGUCGAGCGAGAAGACGUAGCAAUACGUUUGUAAAGCGGCGAACGGGUGAGGAAUACAUGGGUAACCUACCCUCGAGUGGGGAAUAACUAACCGAAAGGUUAGCUAAUACCGCAUACGACUCCUGGUCUGCGGAUCGGGAGGGAAAGCGAUACCGUGGGUAUCGCGCUCUUGGAUGGGCUCAUGUCCCAUCAGCUUGUUGGUGAGGUAACGGCUCACCAAGGCUUCGACGGGUAGCUGGUCUGAGAGGACGAUCAGCCACACUGGCACUGCGACACGGGCCAGACUCCUACGGGAGGCAGCAGUAAGGAAUAUUGCGCAAUGGGCGACAGCCUGACGCAGCGACGCCGCGUGGGGGAUGAAGGUCUUCGGAUUGUAAACCCCUUUCGGCAGGGAAGAUGGAACGGGUAACCGUUCGGACGGUACCUGCAGAAGCAGCCACGGCUAACUUCGUGCCAGCAGCCGCGGUAAGAC
rnacentral:rRNA from 1 species